CGCGGCCUAUCAGCUUGUUGGUGGGGUAGUGGCCUACCAAGGCGACGACGGGUAGCCGGCCUGAGAGGGUGACCGGCCACACUGGGACUGAGACACGGCCCAGACUCCUACGGGAGGCAGCAGUGGGGAAUAUUGCGCAAUGGGCGGAAGCCUGACGCAGCGACGCCGCGUGGGGGAUGACGGCCUUCGGGUUGUAAACCUCUUUCAGCAGGGACGAAGCGAAAGUGACGGUACCUGCAGAAGAAGCACCGGCCAACUACGUGCCAGCAGCCGCGGUAAUACGUAGGGUGCAAGCGUUGUCCGGAAUUAUUGGGCGUAAAGAGCUCGUAGGCGGUCUGUCGCGUCGGCUGUGAAAUCCCGAGGCUCAACCUCGGGUCUGCAGUCGAUACGGGCAAACUGGAGUACUGCAGGGGAGACUGGAAUUCCUGGUGUAGCGGUGAAAUGCGCAGAUAUCAGGAGGAACACCGGUGGCGAAGGCGGGUCUCUGGGCAGUAACUGACGCUGAGGAGCGAAAGCGUGGGGAGCGAACAGGAUUAGAUACCCUGGUAGUCCACGCCGUAAACGUUGGGCGCUAGGUGUGGGGCUCAUUCCACGAGUUCCGUGCCGCAGCUAACGCAUUAAGCGCCCCGCCUGGGGAGUACGG
rnacentral:rRNA from 1 species